UACGGGGGGGGCAAGCGUUGUUCGGAAUUACUGGGCGUAAAGGGCGCGUAGGCGGCCUGAUAAGUAGGGGGUGAAAUCCUGCGGCUUAACCGCAGGGCUGCCUUCUAAACUGUCAGGCUAGAGCACAGUAGAGGCAGGUGGAAUUCCCGGUGUAGCGGUGGAAUGCGUAGAGAUCGGGAAGAACAUCAGUGGCGAAGGCGGCCUGCUGGGCUGUUGCUGACGCUGAGGCGCGACAGCGUGGGGAGCGAACAGG
rnacentral:rRNA from 1 species